rnacentral:rRNA from 1 species
UGAGGAACAUGACCUUCGGCGGGGAUAGCCGGCCCAACGGCCGGGUAAUACCGCGUACGACCUUUUGGGGACAUCCCUGAGUGGUGAAAGCAGCAAUGCGCCGAUGGAGUGCCUCGCGGCCUAUCAGCUAGUUGGUGAGGUAAUGGCUCACCAAGGCGACGACGGGUAGCCGGCCUGAGAGGGCGAUCGGCCACACUGGGACUGAGACACGGCCCAGACUCCGUACGGGAGGNAGCG